UGGGUUAAAUCCACCGGAACCCCACAUCUCUGCGGGGUUCCGGUGGAUUUAACCCAGGUAAGGUUCUGCGCGUUGCGUCGAAUUGAACCACAUGCUCCACCGCUUGUGCGGGCCCCCGUCAAUUCCUUUGAGUUUUAGCCUUGCGGCCGUACUCCCCAGGCGGGAUGCUUAAUGCGUUAACUGCGUUGCCGCAGGGGUCAAUACCCGCGACGACUAGCAUCCAUCGUUUACGGCGUGGACUAC
rnacentral:misc_RNA from 1 species